rnacentral:rRNA from 1 species
GACGAACGCUGGCGGCGUGCCUAAUACAUGCAAGUCGAGCGAGCUGAACCAACAGAUUUACUUCGGUAAUGACGUUGGGAACGCGAGUGGCGGAUGGGUGAGUAACACGUGGGGAACCUGCCCCUCAGUCUGGGAUACCACUUGGAAACAGGUGCUAAUACCGGAUAAUAAAGCAGAUCGCACGAUCAGCUUUUGAAAGGCGGCGUAAGCUGUCGCUAAGGGAUGGCCCCGCGGUGCAUUAGCUAGUUGGUAGGGUAACGGCCUACCAAGGCAAUGAUGCAUAGCCGAGUUGAGAGACUGAUCGGCCACAUUGGGACUGAGACACGGCCCAAACUCCUACGGGAGGCAGCAGUAGGGAAUCUUCCACAAUGGACGAAAGUCUGAUGGAGCAACGCCGCGUGAGUGAAGAAGGUUUUCGGAUCGUAAAGCUCUGUUGUUGGUGAAGAAGGAUAGAGGUAGU